rnacentral:rRNA from 1 species
AACGAACGCUGGCGGCAGGCUUAACACAUGCAAGUCGAGCGCCCCGCAAGGGGAGCGGCAGACGGGUGAGUAACGCGUGGGAAUCUACCCAUCUCUACGGAAUAACGCAUGGGAACGUGUGCUAAUACCGUAUACGUCCUUCGGGAGAAAGAUUUAUCGGAGAUGGAUGAGCCCGGGUGAGAGUAGCUAGUUGGUGGGGUAAAGGCCUACCAAGGCGACGAUCCAUAGCUGGUCUGAGAGGAGGAUCAGCCACACUGGGACAGAAACACGGACGAGGCUCCUACGGGAGGAAGCAGUGGGGAAUAUUGGACAAUGGGCGCAAGCCUGAUCCAGCCAUGCCGCGUGAGUGAUGAAGGCCCUAGGGUUGUAAAGCUCUUUCACCGGUGAAGAUAAUGACGGUAACCGGAGAAGAAGCCCCGGCUAACUUCGUGCCAGCCGCCGCCGUAAUAC